GCCUGGGUGGCUUAGUCGGUUGAGCAUCUGACUCUUGACUUUGGCUCAGGUCAUGAUCUCAUGGUUCGUGGGAUCAAGCCCCACGUCAGGCU
rfam:Felis catus isolate Cinnamon breed Abyssinian chromosome E3, whole genome shotgun sequence.